CACCUCUCAGGGUCGCACCUGGAGAGUUUCCAGGAGUCUACCAGUCUCCGCUAUAGGAGGGAGAGUCGAGCGGGUAGCCAUUCCAUUCCAAGCUUGGCCAGUGGCUAGCGAGUGGAAGGCCAUCUGCUACAAGU